rnacentral:rRNA from 1 species
UACGUAGGGCGCAAGCGUUGUCCGGAAUUAUUGGGCGUAAAGAGCUCGUAGGCGGUCUGUCACGUCUGCCGUGAAAACCCGAGGCUUAACCUCGUGGCUUGCGGUGGAUACGGGCAGACUAGAGGUAGGUAGGGGAGAAUGGAAUUCCCGGUGUAGCGGUGAAAUGCGCAGAUAUCAGGAGGAACACCGGUGGCGAAGGCGGGUCUCUGGGCCGAUACUGACGCUGAGGAGCGAAAGCGUGGGGAGCGAACAGG